GGGGGGUUGGUGUAAUCGGGAACACGCGCCGCUUGCAUCGGCGAGAUAACGGGAUCGAAACCUGUACCCUCCA
rnacentral:tRNA from 1 species